AAAAAGGACAAAAAACAUACUUUUAAAUAUUAUUUUUAUUUUCCCCUGAGCAUAGCCUAGUGGUUAGCAUAUCAGUCUUAGGAACUGAGACAUCGUUCUACCAUUUCACAUUUUCAGUUGGGUGCAUUAUAAGAGUAACAGUCAAUCCUACUAUUUGGUCAAGAGUAAUCACUUAAAGUGACUGGUGCUGCCGAAUAGUUCCUUUCUUUCUGGUAUGCUGUUCAAAAUUAGUGAUGGCUAUGUUUGAAUCUCGCGGGUCUCUGACCUGGCUUUUUAGUACAUUGUGUGUAUAAUGUGUCAUCCAGGUAUACAAACAAUCCCUUUUUUUGCAUGAGAACAUAUGUAUCUGCUUAAAAACUUUGUAUUAAUUUUUAACAAAUUUUAGAUUUUAAAUCUAAUCAAAAACACCAUAGGUGUGAGAAAAAGGUGCGGUCAAAAAAAAAAAAAAAGAAUGAGCGAGCGACUUAAAAGAACGAAAUCAAAAUUGGCGGCCAAACUAGUAGCUACACUUGUAGCAAAUACUCAUUCAUUAGUUAGCCAGGCCACACUUUUUGUUCAACUUGUGGCAUGAUGGUGGGUAAAAAAAAAUAAGCAG